rnacentral:rRNA from 1 species
AGCGAACGCUGGCGGCAGGCCUAACACAUGCAAGUCGAGCGCCGUAGCAAUACGGAGCGGCAGACGGGAGAGUAACACGGGGGAACGUGCCCUUUGGUUCGGAGCAACCCAGGGAAACUUGGGCUAAUACCGGAUAAGCCCUUACGGGGAAAGAUUUAUCGCUGAAGGAUCGGCCCGCGUCUGAUUAGCUAGUUGGUGGGGUAAUGGCCCACCAAGGCGACGAUCAGUAGCUGGUCUGAGAGGAUGAUCAGCCUCACUGGGACUGAGACACGGCCCAGACUCCUACGGGAGGCAGCAGUGGGGAAUAUUGGACAAUGGGCGCAAGCCUGAUCCAGCCAUGCCGCGUGGGUGAUGAAGGCCCUAGGGUUGUAAAGCCCUUUCGGCGGGGAAGAUAAUGACGGUACCCGCAGAAGAAGCCCCGGCUAACUUCGUGCCAGCAGCCGCCGUAA